rnacentral:rRNA from 1 species
GCAGUCGAGCGGUAACAGAUCCAGCUUGCUGGAUGCUGACGAGCGGCGGACGGGUGAGUAAUGCAUAGGAAUCUGCCCGAUAGUGGGGGAUAACCUGGGGAAACCCAGGCUAAUACCGCAUACGUCCUACGGGAGAAAGGGGGCUCCGGCUCCCGCUAUGGGAUGAGCCUAUGUCGGAUUAGCUAGUUGGUGAGGUAACGGCUCACCAAGGCCACGAUCCGUAGCUGGUCUGAGAGGAUGAUCAGCCACAUCGGGACUGAGACACGGCCCGAACUCCUACGGGAGGCAGCAGUGGGGAAUAUUGGACAAUGGGGGCAACCCUGAUCCAGCCAUGCCGCGUGUGUGAAGAAGGCCCUCGGGUUGUAAAGCACUUUCAGCGAGGAAGAACGCCUAGCGGU